rnacentral:misc_RNA from 1 species
CGCGCCGUGGGGGGACGGGGCCCGAUCGGGUUCCCGGCCCUCUCACCUGGCCACCCUUGUCUAUUCUACCUGUUGCUUCGGCGGGCCUGCAGCGAUGCUGCCGGGGGGGCUCGGCCUCCCGGGCUCGUGCCCGCCGGGGACACCGUUGAACUUCUUGUUCGGAGCUUUGACGUCUGAGACCUAUCAUAAUCAGUAA